rnacentral:misc_RNA from 1 species
AAGUCGUAACAAGGUCUCCGUAGGUGAACCUGCGGAGGGAUCAUUAAUGAAUGGCCUCUGUGCCUUCAACCUUACAAACCUGUGGAAGCUAUAUGUGCUUCGGCGCUCAGGCGUCGUUUUUAUGCUACAAGUCAGUCUUUGUGUCUGAAUCAAGCAAAAGAAAUAAAACUUUCAACAAAGGAUCUCUUGGCUCUC